GAUGAACGCUGGCGGCGUGCCUAAUACAUGCAAGUCGAGCGACCGGACGAUGAGCUUGUGCCUUUGACGUUAGCGGGUGGCGGGUGGGUGACGAGUGGAUCACCAACCUAUAAUUCUGGGAUCAUUGCGUGAAGCCGGAUCUAAUACCGGAUAAUAUCUUGUACCGUUUGGUGCAUUGGUGAUUGACGGUGUGCGUGUUAGUAAUAGAUGAUUUCGCGCUGCAUUGGCUAGUUGGUAAGGUAACGGCUUGCCAAGGCAACGAUGCGUAUCUGACCUGAGAGGAUGAUCAGCCACACUGGAAGUGAGACACGGUCCAGACUCCUACGGGAGGCAGCAGUGGGGAAUCUUCGGCAAUGGGCGAAAGCCUGAUGGAGCAAUCCCGCGUGAGUGAUGAAGGUCUUCCGGUCGUAAAACCCUUUUAUUGGGAAAGAACAGCAGUAUGUUUAAACAUAGACGUCUUGACGGUACCUAAUCAGAAAGCACCGGCUAACUACGUG
rnacentral:rRNA from 1 species